UAACAAGGUUUCUGUAGGUGAACCUGCGGAAGGAUCAUUA
rnacentral:rRNA from 2 species